GCGAGAUGCGUAGCCGACCUGAGAGGGUGAUCGGCCACACUGGGACUGAGACACGGCCCAGACUCCUACGGGAGGCAGCAGUAGGGAAUCUUCCGCAAUGGACGAAAGUCUGACGGAGCAACGCCGCGUGAGUGAUGAAGGUUUUCGGAUCGUAAAGCUCUGUUGUUAGGGAAGAACAAGUACCGUUCGAAUAGGGCGGUACCUUGACGGUACCUAACCAGAAAGCCACGGCUAACUACGUGCCAGCAGCCGCGGUAAUACGUAGGUGGCAAGCGUUGUCCGGAAUUAUUGGGCGUAAAGGGCUCGCAGGCGGUUUCUUAAGUCUGAUGUGAAAGCCCCCGGCUCAACCGGGGAGGGUCAUUGAACGUGGGG
rnacentral:rRNA from 2 species